rnacentral:lncRNA from 1 species
CAACCAUCCACAUUCUAUUCUUCUCUCUCUCUCUCUCUCUCUCUCUCUCUCUCUCUCUCUCUCUCCCUCUCUCCCUCUCUCCCUCCCUCCCUCCCUCCACAUGUGUUGCUAAGCUUUCCGAAAGGGUUCACCGCAUUCCCCCUAACUGGUGCAGAGCCGGUGGACCCAUAUGCAAUCUGCCAUAUUGAACGGGCACUAAGUUGGAUCUAUGACUACCCUGUAUUUUCUGUGCACGUCCGUCCAGAUCCAGUGAGAAACCAAACAACUGCUUUCGAGAGCUGGAAAAUCCACUCGGGUCUCUCGGGCCGGCCAAUGACACAGAGGCUGCUGCCAAGCUGGCCAAUGGGACAGAGGCAAUUUUUUUGUGUGAGUAUGUUUCCCAGAGCCAGCUGCCUCAGCACCAGACUACACUUACUUUCCCUUAUGAUACAUGAGAUAAUCAUCUGGUGUAGUACUGCACUUCAGCUUUGCUUGGCCACAGUGCUGUUUAAACAUGUGUGGAAACCCAGCAGAGUAGGUGUCCAUUUGAACCUGUCUAGUCAAUUAAUUAUCUAAGUUUGCAGAGAUGGAGAACUUGAGGGAUUGUUCCAAAAUGCUGGGCUGCAAC